AUUGGUUGACUAAGAGGAGACAAGUCCGCAGUAGGUAUAGAAUCUGAUGCAGGACGUGAAUCACCUAGACCUGAUGCUGCAUCUGGACGGCGAUGAUAAGUCAAGAGUGGCGGAGUUGCAGAAGGUUGAACUGAAUUAUGUGGAGGAAUUGGACCUAUGUGGUGGAACUGGAGCUAUAGAUGGUGGAACGAGAGAUGUAGAGGAAGUUGGAUGGGUCAUGGGAGAUAGUGACUGAAUCUCCAAUAGAAAAGACCGGUGGUUAGGGGUGUUCAAAACCGAACCGAAUCGUAAACCGAACCGUAACCGAAGCUUAAUGGCUUAUUGGUAUCGGGUUAA
rnacentral:lncRNA from 1 species